GACGAACGCUGGCGGCGUGCUUAACACAUGCAAGUCGAACGAAGAGCGAUGGAAGCUUGCUUCUAUCAAUCUUAGUGGCGAACGGGUGAGUAACGCGUAAUCAACCUGCCCUUCAGAGGGGGACAACAGUUGGAAACGACUGCUAAUACCGCAUACGAUCUAACCUCGGCAUCGAGGAUAGAUGAAAGGUGGCCUCUACAUGUAAGCUAUCACUGAAGGAGGGGAUUGCGUCUGAUUAGCUAGUUGGAGGGGUAACGGCCCACCAAGGCGAUGAUCAGUAGCCGGUCUGAGAGGAUGAACGGCCACAGUGGGACUGAGACACGGCCCAGACUCCUACGGGAGGCAGCAGUGGGGAAUCUUCCGCAAUGGACGAAAGUCUGACGGAGCAACGCCGCGUGAGUGAUGACGGCCUUCGGGUUGUAAAGCUCUGUUAAUCGGGACGAAAGGCCUUCUUGCGAAUAGUGAGAAGGAUUGACGGUACCGGAAUAGAAAGCCACGGCUAACUACGUG
rnacentral:rRNA from 1 species